rnacentral:tRNA from 2 species
GCCCUGAUGGCGAAAUUGGUAGACGCGCAACCUUGAGGUGGUUGUACUUUCAAUGGUGUGGGAGUUCGAGUCUCCCUCAGGGCACCA